rnacentral:lncRNA from 1 species
UAUUUCCCAUUAAAAAUAAUUAAAGCGUGCGUUUAUCUAAAAGAAAUUACAUACGAAGGUAGGCAACCGCUUGGAUAUCGUUGAUACAUGAUACCGAUUUUACGUACAUGUGUUAUUGGAGAUUACAGCCUGUAAUUCGAGUUUACCGUACGUAAUCAGCUUACGUAAAGAUACAUCAUAGCCCCCAAUAUUUCAUGACGAGAAGCUAAUUCGCACACUUUAACCAACGUUGCCAAGUCGCUAAAAUCUCGAACUUUGACACCAAUUUGACAAUUGAAAGAUGAUCGAGGCCAAUCGAGCUGUGAUCGAGGGUAAAUUGUAAACAUAAAUAAAUCUUAAAGAAUAUAAAAUAAACCUUCUAUUUUAUAUUCAUAUAUUCUAAGAAAUAAAUCAAAUGGAUAAAUCAACGGGAACAAUGGAUAAAAGCCAAAAAAAGGAGAACAGAUCUAAAAUUAAAAUAUGAAAGAGUAUGCAGUGAAUAUUGUAUAAGUGGAAAGCCAGCCACUUUAGAGGAUAUAAAUAAUGAAGAUCAGAAGAUUGGAUUCCAAACCAAAACAUAGUGUACCAAAGCCAGGCAAUA